GGAGAGCUGGCAGAGUGGUUGAAUGCGGCGGUCUUGAAAACCGUUAUACCCUUUACGGGUAUCUGGGGUUCGAAUCCCUAGCUCUCCG
rnacentral:tRNA from 1 species